UACGUAGGGUGCAAGCGUUGUCCGGAAUUAUUGGGCGUAAAGAGCUCGUAGGCGGUCUGUCGCGUCGGCUGUGAAAACCUGGGGCUCAACCCCAGGCCUGCAGUCGAUACGGGCAGACUAGAGUCCGGCAGGGGAGACUGGAAUUCCUGGUGUAGCGGUGAAAUGCGCAGAUAUCAGGAGGAACACCGGUGGCGAAGGCGGGUCUCUGGGCAUUAACUGACGCUGAGGAGCGAAAGCAUGGGGAGCGAACAGG
rnacentral:rRNA from 1 species